AAGGAUCAUUAACGAAGCCAUUUUUGGCAUCUAUUCUUUCAUUUCUGUGAACUUAUCUUUGCUUUGGGUGGGUGGAUAUGUGUUUAUUCAUUUUUCCAUCUGCCCAAAAUUUUAAACUCUUAACUUUUAUUGAAUUGUCUGACUGAUUAAAAAUAAAAAAAAUUAAUCAAAACUUUCAACAACGGAUCUCUUGGUUCUCGCAUCGAUGAAGAACGCAGCAAAACGCGAUAUGUAGUGUGAAUUGCAGAAUUUUGUGAAUCAUCGAAUCUUUGAACGCACAUUGCGCCCUUUGGUAUUCCAAAGGGCAUACCUGUUUGAGCGUCAUUUCUUUCUCAUUCUAAAUGGUUUUGUGUGUUUUUCGUUUCUGCAAAGAAAGGAUCACACUAAAUGUAAUGGCAUGAUUGUUAUUCUUGUGAAAGCGUUCUAGGUUUUCCAACUACGUAAUUAACAGAUGACAGUGGUCAGGCCUUUAUAACCACCUUUUAAAAUUUGACCUCAAAUCAGGCAAGAAUACCCGCUGAACUUAA
rnacentral:rRNA from 1 species